CCACGUCACUCUGAAACCCCGGUUCUCGUAUGAUUACCUUAAGUUAAGCAACGUUGAGCCUGGUCAGUACCAAGAUGGUUGUCCGCUUGGGAAUAUAAGGUGCCGUAU